AUGCCUAUGAAUUAUUCACUUGCUUUUGAACCAUUUGAUGUUUGGGGAUUUGAUUACAUGGGACCUUUUCCUUCCUCUAAUGUGUAUACACAUAUUUUGGUUGUUGUUGAUUAUGUUACUAAAUGGGUAGAAGCUAUUCCAACUAGUAGUGUUGAUCACACCACCUCUAUUAAAAUGCUUAAGGAAGUUAUUUUCUCAAGGUUUGGAGUCCCUAGAUAUUUAAUGACUGAUGGUGGUUCACACUUUAUUCAUGGUGCUUUUCAUAAAAUGCUUGCCAAGUACUCCCUCCGUCCGGGAAAAGUUGUCCCCAGCAGAGUGUAA
rnacentral:rRNA from 1 species